rnacentral:rRNA from 1 species
AACGAACGCUGGCGGCAUGCCUAACACAUGCAAGUCGAACGAGACCUUCGGGUCUAGUGGCGAACGGGUGCGUAACGCGUGGGAACCUGCCCUUAGGUUCGGAAUAACUCCCCGAAAGGGGUGCUAAUACCGGAUAAUGUCUUCGGACCAAAGAUUUAUCGCCUUUGGAUGGGCCCGCGUUGGAUUAGCUAGUUGGUAGGGUAAAAGCCUACCAAGGCGACGAUCCAUAGCUGGUCUGAGAGGAUGAUCAGCCACACUGGGACUGAGACACGGCCCAGACUCCUACGGGAGGCAGCAGUGGUGAAUAUUGGACAAUGGGCGAAAGCCUGAUCCAGCAAUGCCGCGUGAGUGAUGAAGGCCUUAGGGUUGUAAAGCUCUUUUACCCGGGAUGAUAAUGACAGUACCGGGAGAAUAAGCUCCGGCUAACUCCGUG